AGUAGUUUGAUCAGUGGCUCGAGGACGAACGCUGGCGGCGUGCCUAACACAUGCAAGUCGAGCGGAGACAUAUGACGGAGUUGAAGUUUUCGGAUGGAGACGAAGAUGUAUGUUUUAGCGGCGGACGGGUGAGUAACGCGUGAGCAACCUGUCCUUCACGAGGGGGAUAACACAGCGAAAGUUGUACUAAUACCGCAUAAGACCACGGUGCUGCAUGGCACAGGGGUCAAAGGAGCAAUCCGGUGAAGGGUGGGCUCGCGUCCGAUUAGAUAGUAGGUGAGGUAACGGCCCACCUAGUCAACGAUCGGUAGCCGACCUGAGAGGGUGAUCGGCCACAUUGGGACUGAGACACGGCCCAAACUCC
rnacentral:rRNA from 1 species